rnacentral:rRNA from 1 species
GACGAACGCUGGCGGCGUGCUUAACACAUGCAAGUCGGACGAGACCCCUUCUUCGGGAGGGUGUUCUAGUGGCGAACGGGUGAGUAACACGUGGGCGAACCUGCCCUCAGCUCUGGGAUAACUCCAAGAAAUUGGGGCUAAUACCGGAUAUGACUGCUGACCGCAUGGUCUGGUGGUGGAAAGAUUUAUCGGCUGGGGAUGGGCCCGCGGCCUAUCAGCUUGUUGGUGGGGUAGUGGCCACCAAGGCGACGACGGGUAGCCGGCCUGAGAGGGUGACCGGCCACACUGGGACUGAGACACGGCCCAGACUCCUACGGGAGGCAGCAGUGGGGAAUAUUGCGCAAUGGGCGGAAAGCCUGACGCAGCGACGCCGCGUGGGGAUGACGGCCU